rnacentral:rRNA from 1 species
GAUGAACGCUGGCGGCGUGCCUAAUACAUGCAAGUCGAGCGGACAGACGAGGAGCUUGCUGCUCUCACGUUAGCAGCGCACGGGAGUGAAACAUGUGUAUCACCUACCUAUAAUACUGGUAUCACUUCGGAAAACCGGAGCUUAUACCGGAUAAUAUAUUGCACCGCAUUGUUCAAUAGAGAAAGUCGGCUUUGGUGUCACUUAUAGAUGGAUCCGGGCCGCAUUGGCUGGUUGGUAAGGUAACGGCUUACCAAGGCGACGAUGCGUAGCCGAAGGGAGAGGGGGGUAGGCCACAUGGGAACGGGAGCACGGUCAAGAGGCCUACGGGAGGCAGCAGUCGGGAAUCGGCGGCAAUGGGCGGAAACCUGACGGAACAGCGCGGCGUGAGUGAUGAAGGUCUCCGGAUCGGAAAGCUCUGUUAUGAGGGAAGAACAAAUGUGUAAGUAGCUGAAGACGGAUUGACGGUAACUAGUAAGAAAGCAACGGCUAACUACGUG